GUUAACUAUUAUUAUUCUUCGCUUUGCUUUUGCUAUCAAAUUACCGAACGUAACUAGAACCAAAAUCUCUAUUCAGCAUAAUAACUGAUUUAUCGGCCUAACUGCAACUUUUAGGAGCUUGAUGUGAUAAUUAUAAAGACCACCAAAAUUCUAGUCUCUAACCUUGACAAUUUAAUUUAAGGUUAAUUUGAGAACUUAAAAAGCUUUAUACCCAAUAUCUGAGACAAACUAUAAUUACGUACAACUUAGACAAGGAUUAUGACCAUUUUGGAUUGCAGAUAUAUCAAAUACAACACACCAAGUAACAUACAGUAGAAGGUAAGAACAUGCUGGGGACUGCUUUUAGCUGCUGGAGCUGAAGCUGAGGCUGGAGGGGGACUUACGUUCAG